rnacentral:rRNA from 1 species
CCUACGGGAGGCAGCAGUGGGGAAUAUUGGACAAUGGGCGAAAGCCUGAUCCAGCAAUUCCGCGUGUGUGAAGAAGGCCUUCGGGUUGUAAAGCACUUUAGUGGGGGAAGAAACAGCUUGGCCACACCAAGCCUUGACGGUACCCCAAGAAUAAGCACCGGCUAACUCUGUGCCAGCAGCCGCGGUAAUACAGAGGGUGCAAGCGUUAAUCGGAUUUACUGGGCGUAAAGGGUGCGUAGGUGGCUAUUUAAGUCGGAUGUGAAAGCCCGGGGCUCAACCUCGGAAUUGCAUUCGAUACUGAGUGGCUAGAGUUCGGUAGAGGGCGGCGGAAUUUCCGGUGUAGCGGUGAAAUGCGUAGAUAUCGGAAGGAACAUCAAUGGCGAAGGCAGCCGCCUGGGCCUGGACUGACACUGAGGCACGAAAGCGUGGGUAGCAAACAGGAUUAGAUACCCUGGUAGUCCACGCCGUAAACGAUGAGAACUUGACGUUGGUUCGUUUUACGAAUCGGUGUCGCAGCUAACGCGAUAAGUUCUCCGCCUGGGGAGUCGGCCGCAAGGUUGAAACUCAAAGGAAUUGACGGCUGAGACGNGCGAGACGACGACGAGGGAGAGG